GCUUGGUUGCUGUGGGAUUGGGUCCUAGUUGGUGAGGUCCCUGCCCUGCCUAGGACUGUUGUGCUCAGCUCCUGGUUCUCUAUCCCUUAAGGAGAAACUGGCUUGUGCUUCUUCCUGAUGGAUCUGGGGUUUGUCUUCGUACAGCUUCCAGUGCUGGUGUGAAAUUGUGCCGCUUUGUGCACUCACAGCUGAGCAGAGGCAGAGCCUGCGGAAACGAGCAGACGUCAGUCAGAAAGCCAACCCCAUAGAGCACCUCUACUGCCUUGGACUGCUGUGGCCAAACAUCUGCCUGGUGGACUGGGUCUCAGCUCCCCAGUAUAGGGAGGGGAAAAAAAGGCAACAGAUAUGUGAGAAGGAUUCCAUUUCUUUGCUGAUCCUCUUCAUCCCUUCAGUUUCAACAGGAGCAGAAGCACGUCCAGACUACUGCUCAAGUGAUCCUUCUUCUAGUACUUGAUGCUGCAGAUAUUUAUUGCUAUUAAUAUGUAGAUAGAAUAUGCUCAGUGAUCUUACAAGUCUUGUGUUUGAGGUAUAACGUCUGUGAUACUUGAGAUUUCUUUUUAAUGUUCAGGCCUUAUUUAAAAAAAAAAUCUGACACUGUGAAUCUAAAUUCUAUCCAGACCACUGUUUACUUUUGUUGAUAUCAUUAAGAUACAUUUCUUGCUUAGUACUGACUUACGCAAAUGGCUUAUUUUAUGUUUGGGUGGCGGUGUUAUUAACUCCUACUUUUAUUGCAAGUUUCUUGAAAACUAAUGAGUUUCUGAAGAUCCCAGCUCUUAGAAUCAGGUGAGCAGAUGAGUGUCAGCUGUCCUUCUAGUUCAUUAUCUUUUCAGUGUUCGUAUGUCCAAGGUGUGUCGUAAAUCAGAGUAAACAUCCUGGGAACGUAUUAAAAGCUUGAAAUUCAGAAGGUACUCAAUGUAUGAUGAUAUAAAAUAUUUUAAUGACUUUAAG
rnacentral:lncRNA from 1 species